rnacentral:rRNA from 1 species
AGCGAACGCUGGCGGCAGGCCUAAAACAUGCAAGUCGAACGAAACCUUCGGGUUUAGUGGCGGACGGGUGAGUAACACGUGGGAACGUGCCUUUUGGUUCGGAACAACUCAGGGAAACUUGAGCUAAUACCGAAUGUGCCCUUCGGGGGAAAGAUUAUCGCCAUUAGAGCGGCCCGCGUCUGAUUAGCUAGUUGGUAGGGUAAAGGCCUACCAAGGCUACGAUCAGUAGCUGGUCUGAGAGGAUGAUCAGCCACACUGGGACUGAGACACGGCCCAGACUCCUACGGGAGGCAGCAGUUAGGAAUCUUGCGCAAUGGGCGAAAGCCUGACGCAGCCAUGCCGCGUGAAUGAUGAAGGUCUUAGGAUUGUAAAAUUCUUUCGAGCG